rnacentral:pre_miRNA from 1 species
GAUGGAAUUACUGGGUCACACGAUGAGUAUCUUUCACUUUAUGAGAAACUGCCAAACUGGUUUUCAAAGUGGCUGUGCCGUCUUGCAUUCCCACCAGCAAU